GAAUAUUGAUACUGGUUCUGCAAAUGAUGCGGUAAAGUCCCGAAUGCACGUCUCUGCUUUGGUAUACUAGCUUGCAGUAGCAUCUGUUGAUUGGAUUUGUAGGUGGACUGGCUGACGGAGAAAAUGAGGGAAGCCAACUUCACCGUAUCCUCAAUGCAUGGAGACAUGCCCCAGAAAGAGCGGGAGUCCAUCAUGAAGGAGUUCCGGUCGGGCGCCAGCCGAGUGCUUAUUUCUACAGAUGUCUGGGCCAGGGGGUUGGAUGUCCCUCAGGUGUCCCUCAUCAUUAACUACGAUCUCCCCAAUAACAGAGAAUUGUCCAUACACAGAAUUGGGAGAUCAGGUCGAUACGGCCGGAAGGGUGUGGCCAUUAACUUUGUAAAGAAUGACGACAUCCGCAUCCUCAGAGAUAUCGAGCAGUACUAUUCCACUCAGAUUGAUGAGAUGCCGAUGAACGUUGCUGAUCUUAUCUGAAGCAGCAGAUCAGUUGGAUGAGGGAGACUGUUCACCUGCUGUGUACUCCUGUUUGGAAGUAUUUGGAUCCAGAUUCUACUUGAUGGGGUUUAUAUGGACUUUCUUCUCAUAAAUGGCCUCCCGUCUCCCUUCCUUUGAAGAGGAUAUGGGGAUUCUGCUCCCUUUUCUUAUUUACAUGUAAAUAAUACAUUGUUCUAAGUCUUUUUCAUUAAAGAUUUAAAACUUU
rnacentral:sRNA from 1 species